UAGGAGAGGUGAACUUAACUCCGUUUUGGGAAACCACAUUCACAGCUCCGCAGCUGUCAGUAACAUCGAACCAAACCUAUCUGAAUGUGACGGUCUCGCCGCCGAUGGCCGCUUGGAACCACUCUAUUGAGAAUAUCAGCUUCUGGGGAAAAGCUUUCCUGAGAUCAUCCGUUAAGUACACAGUUCGUCUGACACAUCCCGAGUCACUGGCUGGAAAGUUGCAGGUGUCUGAGGGCACGUCUCGCUCAGUGUUUAUUUGGCUCAAGGAGACAGACGUGAAGUACUGUGGUGAUGUGUUAUAUACACUCACACAUCCCGGUCGGUCCAGUGCCAGUGAAAACGCUUCUAUUUUGUGUGACUGUCUCAGGUAACUCAACAGUUUGUGCUUUGAUUGAUGUGUAGAAAACUAGUCCACAUUCCGAUGACUGAAUCCGAACACCCAUUAAUUAGGAAAACAAUUCAUGCUUUCAGUGUUUUAUUGUUUCCCUUCAUUAAUACCCGAACUAAAUCU